GAUGAACGCUGGCGGCAUGCCUUACACAUGCAAGUCGAACGGCAGCACGGGUGCUUGCACCUGGUGGCGAGUGGCGAACGGGUGAGUAAUACAUCGGAACGUACCUUAUCGUGGGGGAUAACGCAGCGAAAGCUGUGCUAAUACCGCAUACGCCCUGAGGGGGAAAGCGGGGGAUCGCAAGACCUCGCGCGAUUAGAGCGGCCGAUGCCUGAUUAGCUAGUUGGUGGGGUAAAAGCCCACCAAGGCGACGAUCAGUAGCUGGUCUGAGAGGACGAUCAGCCACACUGGGACUGAGACACGGCCCAGACUCCUACGGGAGGCAGCAGUGGGGAAUUUUGGACAAUGGGGGCAACCCUGAUCCAGCAAUGCCGCGUGAGUGAAGAAGGCCUUCGGGUUGUAAAGCUCUUUUGUCAGGGAAGAAACACCGGCUCUAACACAGUCCGGGAAUGACGGUACCUGAGGAAUAAGCACCGGCUAACUACGUGCCAGCAGCCGCAGUAA
rnacentral:rRNA from 1 species